AAUGAACGCUGGCGGCGCGCCUAAUACAUGCAAGUCGAGCGAGAAGACGUAGCAAUACGUUUGUAAAGCGGCGAACGGGUGAGGAAUACAUGGGUAACCUACCCUAGAGUGGGGAAUAACUAGCCGAAAGGUUAGCUAAUACCGCGUACGCUCCUUGGACUUCGGUUCAGGGAGGAAAGCGAUACCGAGGGUAUCGCGCUCUUGGAUGGGCUCAUGUCCUAUCAGCUUGUUGGUGAGGUAACGGCUCACCAAGGCUUCGACGGGUAGCUGGUCUGAGAGGACGAUCAGCCACACUGGCACUGCGACACGGGCCAGACUCCUACGGGAGGCAGCAGUAAGGAAUAUUGCGCAAUGGGCGAAAGCCUGACGCAGCGACGCCGCGUGGGGGAUGAAGGUCUUCGGAUUGUAAACCCCUUUCGGGAGGGAAGAUGGAACGAGCAAUCGUUCGGACGGUACCUCCAGAAGCAGCCACGGCUAACUUCGUGCCA
rnacentral:rRNA from 1 species